GUGAAAGUAAACUGCAGCAGAAUUACAGACUCGCCCUUAAUGCGGUAACGUUACUCCUGGACAUUCUACAGACAACAUCGCAUCGCAACAUUUAUAUAUCCUCAGGUGUUACACAGGGAGAGGAAGAAAGCUUCAAAGCGAUGUGUCUCCUGUGAGGUUGAGGACAUUUCCCUGAGAUUGAUGCUAAUCACAAGAAUCUCUUCUACAGCAGCACAAGAGGCAACAAUCAGCUUUAACACAACUCGAUUUUGUCGAAAUCAUUUUAGAGAUGAUGAAGCCGGCAAAGGAGAACCAAAGGAGAUAAACGUUUAUUUUGUAUAGCGCCUUUUACAAUGAACAUUGUCUCAAAGCAGCUUUACAAAAGAAGAAAACAGAGAAAAAGGAGGGGAAAAUGAAAAAUAAUAAUAAAAAAUAAAAAUAACUAAUUAACUAGAAAUAAGAAUAAAUUAUUAAAUUCUAUAAUUAGACUAUUUUAUC